UGUUGGUUCUCCCGCAACGCUACUCUGUUUACCAGGUCAGGUCCGGAAGGAAGCAGCCAAGGCAGAUGAGGCGUGUGCCGGGAUGUAGCUGGCAGGG
rnacentral:SRP_RNA from 5 species